UACGGGGGGGGCAAGCGUUGUUCGGAUUUACUGGGCGUAAAGGGCGCGCAGGCGGUCUUUUAAGUCUGAUGUGAAAGCCCACGGCUCAACCGUGGAGGGUCAUUGGAAACUGGGAGACUUGAGUGCAGAAGAGAAGAGUGGAAUUCCACGUGUAGCGGUGAAAUGCGUAGAGAUGUGGAGGAACACCAGUGGCGAAGGCGACUCAUUGGUCUGUAACUGACGCUGAGGCGCGAAAGCGUGGGGAGCAAACAGG
rnacentral:rRNA from 1 species